GCAGAUACCUCGGGGGGCCAGCAAUGGCUGAGAUGCGCAAGCGGACCCGUUGAACCUGAACCGGUUAAGACCGGCGGAGGGAAGGUAUGGCAAUCGCGC
rnacentral:ncRNA from 2 species